rnacentral:lncRNA from 1 species
GUCUCAUCUGCGAUACAUAAAUUGUAUUUUCCAAAAUAAGAUAAAAACCAGACUCUAAAAUUAACUUCACUACUCCUAUGAAUUCAACCUUUACUUGAAAUCCAUUUGCAACGCUCAAGCUUACUUCAUUCUCACUUGGCCUCCGUUUUCUUAUGAACCCCUGUAAGGAAUUCGCAAUAUGAAUACUAGCUCGUGAGUCUAACCACCAAGAAUUCAAAGGCACGUCUACUAAAGAAGACUCAAAACAAACUAAAGCCAAGGGAAUACCUGGAGAACUCUUCUUCUUUUCCAACCAAGUCUUGAACUUAAAACAGUCUUUCUGUAGUGACCCUUCUUUUUACAGAACUUGCAUUAAUCAUUUUUCUUUAUAACUCCUUUAGGACUACUAAAAUUUUUAUUCUGCUGAUUUCGGUGGGACUUAUUACCCUUAUGAAACUUAAGUUUAUGAUUAUGAGAAGGCCCCUUAUUCUGUGAUGACUGAAAAGCUAAUUGCACAGUUUCAACAGUUUCACGGCACAUCCUAUACUCUUCUUGGGCACACACUUCUAUGAGGUCAUUCAAAUUUCAUUUAUCUCGUUGAGCAUUGUAAGCAACCUUAAAUUGAUUAAACUUGAUAGGAAGGCUAUU